rnacentral:rRNA from 1 species
CAUGUCUUUUUGAGAAUAUUUUAAAGUCUGGUCUGCCCAAUGAUAAAUUAAAUGGCCGCGAUAUUUUGAUCGUGCGAAGGUAGCAUAAUCAUUAGUUUUUUAAUUGAAAGCUGGAAUGAAAGAUUGAACGAAAAAUUAACUGUCUCAGUUUUAUAUAUUGAAUUUUAUUUUUGAGUGAAAAAGCUUAAAUAAUAAUGGGGGACGAGAAGACCCUAUAGAGUUUAAUAUUUAAAUAUUUUAUAUGGAUUAUAGUAUUUAAUCUUAUUAAUUUUUAAAAUAUUUAGUUGGGGUGACGGGAAAAUUUAUAAACUUUUCUUAAAUUUUAUAUAUUUAUAAAUAGUUGUAUGACUUAAAGUUUUUAGUUAAAAGAUUAAAUUACCUUAGGGAUAACAGCGUAAUCUUUUUUGAGAGUUCUUAUCGAAAUAAGGGAUUGCGACCUCGAUGUUGGAUUAAAGUAUAAUUUUGGUGUAGGAGCUGAAAUAUUUAGUCUGUUCGACUAUUAAAACUUUACAUGAUCUGAGU